GUGAGGAAUAUUGCGCAAUGGAGGCAACUCUGACGCAGCCAUGCCGCGUGCAGGAAGAAGGCGCUACGCGUUGUAAACUGCUUUUAACCGGGAAGAAACCCCAGGACGUGUCCUGGGUUGACGGUACCGGAGGAAUAAGCACCGGCUAACUUCGUGCCAGCAGCCGCGGUAAUACGAAGGGUGCAAGCGUUAUCCGGAUUCAUUGGGUUUAAAGGGUGCGUAGGCGGAGCGUUAAGUCAGUGGUGAAAUCCUGCAGCUUAACUGUAGACUUGCCAUUGAUACUGGCGCUCUUGAGUGCGCUUGAAGUGGGCGGAAUGUGCCGUGUAGCGGUGAAAUGCUUAGAUAUGGCACAGAACACCAAUUGCGAAGGCAGCUCACUAAGGCGAUACUGACGCUGAGGCACGAAAGCGUGGGGAUCGAACAGGAUUAGAAACCCUAGUACC
rnacentral:rRNA from 1 species